rnacentral:tRNA from 1 species
CAGUAAGUAGUUUAAAAAAAAAUUUAGGUUUUGGGAAUUUAAGAUGCUAUUUAGUUUUACUGA